CGAACCAAAUAGGCAAAUACUAGAAACAUUGUCUGUUUUCCCUAAAACUCAAAAUCAGUUGAUGGCCUCACGCCGCACUUUCUAGUCUCUUCUCACUUUCUCUCUCUUCUAGUCUCCUUUCUGAGUUUCUUGGCUCUCAUCUCUCGCUGGCGAGGCGGCAACAAUCACCUAAAACCGUUGCGCGGUCGACCACUCCUAUCACCGACCAUCGCACACCAUUCAAUUGACCAGUUUUAUGCAGACUAAAAAACCUUGAGGAGCUGAGGAACAAAUUUGAAGGGAGCCUUCCACUCUGUCUUGGACAUUUAAAAGAGAUUCACCAAGCUUGUUUCUCUUGAGUACGUCUCACUCUCAUUUAGUCUUCUAAUUGGUGACACGACUUCAGGUGUGUGUGUUUUAGCAAGCUGGCUUGGUCUGUUCAACUCAUUAUGUCUCUGUAGAGUUGUUGUAGUCUGCUGGUUCUUUUCUAGUUUUAUUUUGUUCUGUUUUCAGACUUGUUGUCUUAAGCAGUUUAGGUAAGGUUGUGUGUUUAGGAGGACGACACAACUAUGGUGUGUAGAAUUAUGUUACAACAGUUGUGUUUAGUGUUAAAUUUCAACUUAGGUGCAGGUGAUUCUGGUCUGCAGUUCUGGUUUCCAGUGUUUAGAGUGUUGUUUUAAAGUUAGUUGGUGACUAGAAGUUGAUAUCCUAGCCAAAGUUCACUCUUUGACUUUUUCAUUUCAACAAGAUUGUGGAUGAUGUUAAUGUUAGGUUAUGAUACAUAUAACAAUUCAUUAAUCAUGCGGAAAAACCAUAAAGCCAGGAAAGCAUAUUAUAUUCACAUAAUCAUUUAGCAUAGUAUUGAUGCAUACAUGUUGUAGCGUGCCUUCCCUAGCUGCGCCCGAACCGAACAAGAACAAGUCUUUAGGACUCCAAAUGUCGUACCUCCGUAGAUAGUCCACAGUACGUCCGGAUCCGCCUCAAGUUAGACCAACUAGAAUCGCCCUUAAGGUUGCUAGGAUUUUCGGCUAGUGUUUGCAAGUGUAUGGCUAAUUUUAUAUCAAAAACUUACCCUUUGAAUACUUCAAUCGUUCCUGCAAAUAAUGACCCUAGGCCCUUAUUUAUAGAGGUAUGGAAAAGGAACUGGAAUCCUAUUAAGAUACUAAUUAGUUAAACUAGAAUCCUAGUAGGACUCUAAUUAAUUAAUAUUUAUCCUUUUAGGAUUAGGAAUUUAAUCAUCAAACAAAUCCUAUACAAUUUAGGUUUCGUAUGUGAACACAAACUCUACACGAGCAUGACCUACGAGCGUGCAGGCCAUGCCCGCGCUCAGCCCACACGGCUGCUCGGCCCACGCGAGCCGCAAGCCCACGCGAGCAGCAGCACAGCUCGCAGCCCAUUGCUGCGCGCGCUGCCAUGGCCUGCUGGGCCUGGCCUGCUGGGCCUGGCCUUACGCUGGGCCUGGCGUGGCCUUGGCUGUUCGUGUGGCGCGCUUGGCUUGCUGGGCAAUGGCCUGGCUUCGUGCUGGGCCCUCGUCCGGCAGGCCUCGUCCGAUGCUUAUUCGUACGAUACGCUUCCGAUUAAAUUCCCGGUUCCGGAAUUCAUUUCCGAUACGAACAAUAUUUAAUAUUUCCGAUUCCGGAAUUAAUUUCCGUUUCGAACAAAUAUUUAAUAUUUCCGUUUCCGGAAUUAUUUUCCGAUUCCGAUAAUAUUUCCGAUUCUGACAAUAUUUCCGUUUCCGGAAAUAUUUCCGAUUCCGGCAGUAUUUCCAUUUCCGAUAAUAUUUUCCGAUACGUAACAUGUUUCCGUUUCCGGCAACAUCUGCGACUUGGAUAAUAUUUAUAUUUCCGAUACGAUCCAUAUUUCCGUUUUCGGCAAUAUCAUCGCUUCCGGAGUAUUCAUUUCUUGCUUGUGACGAUCUCAGCUCCCACUGAAACCAAGAUCCGUCGAUUCCGAAUAUCCAUAGAUAGAGUAUUUAAUGCCAUUAAAUAAUUGAUCCGUUUACGUACUAUUUGUGUGACCCUACGGGUUCAGUCAAGAGUAAGCUGUGGAUUAAUAUCAUUAAUUCCACUUGAACUGAAACGGCCUCUAGCUAGGCAUUCAGCUCACUUGAUCUCACUGAAUUUAUUAACUUGUUAAUUAAUACUGAACCGCACUUAUUAGACUUAACAUAGAAUGCAUACUUGGACCAAGGGCAUUAUUUCCUUCAGUUAUUUGUUGGUUAAAUUUAUGCGAAGUAUGCCUUAGUUUAUCCCUAUUAUAUAAUCAGUACUAAGUAUUUUUUUUUUGUCCCUAUUGCUUAAAGUUUUUGUAAUGAACUUACCAAACAAAUGAUUGAUUGUUUCCAAGCUCUUAUCAUAUCUUGUUUCAGGUGAUAAAAGCUAUUGAAUGUUCAACAUUUAUAUUUUUUUUUACUCGAUGUUGUCACAUAAAUCCAUAUCCUCCAUAAUUUUGUCAGCAAUCUAGGUUAAUCAUGAAACAGUUCAAGGUCAGUUUAUGAAACAGAUUUGAUUGUUUGAUGAAGAUGUUCAAGCAAAUUGAUCCUGAAAUGUUGGAUACUUUGACUCGAUCACUUGGGAGUGCGUCAAUUAAUCUAUAGCUUACAGAUCAUUUUCCCAAUGUACACUCUACUGAGCAAGAGCAAAAUCAGGAUCAAUUGGAUCAAGAUAAAGGAUUGGAGUAGCAAGUAAUGAUGCCACAAGAAACAUGCUUGCAUAUAUGUAGUUGCCAAUGUUUGGGGAGUUAAAUAUACAUGAUCGAUGACUUAGAUAAACUUUUAUUUUUCGGGAUCGAAAAGUUUUGGAGCUGUUAUUGGUGAUCAGGUGCUGAUGUUCCUUGGAAUUUCAGUUGUUGGUGAGCAGGGUGAGGUGUUGCUGUGGCAAGUGGAGCUUAUGCUAGCUGUUGUUGCUAAUUAGAGUUCUUGUCUGCUUAUAGUUGUCUGCUUGGAGAUAGCAGCAAUAGUUGUCUGCUUGGAGAUAGCAGCAAUAGUUGUGUGCUUGGAAAUAGUUGCUGCUGUUCUGCUAUUUCUGUUUUCAAUCUGUUUAUGUUUGCUUCAACUUAAUUGGACGUACUGCUGUAGGCUAGUUAUUUAGGAAUUGUUGUUUUUUCUGUUUUGGAAUUUGGUGUCUAGAGACCGAAGUUGACCUUCUUUUUGUUUUGGUUAUUAGAUUGCUUAGCCAAACUAAAAAAUUGGUAUUUGUGGAUGUUUAUGGAAGAUAUUAUGAAAUUAUUUCAAUUUAAAUGA